UACGGAGGGUGCGAGCGUUGUCCGGAAUCACUGGGCGUAAAGGGCGCGUAGGCGGUCUGCUAAGCGUGUGGUGAAAGCUCGGGGCUCAACCCCGAGUCUGCCAUGCGAACUGGUGGACUUGAGCACUGUAGAGGCAGGUGGAAUUCCGGGUGUAGCGGUGGAAUGCGUAGAGAUCCGGAAGAACACCGGUGGCGAAGGCGGCCUGCUGGGCAGUUGCUGACACUGAGGCGCGACAGCGUGGGGAGCAAACAGG
rnacentral:rRNA from 1 species